GUACGGGGGGGGCAAGCGUUGUUCGGAAUUACUGGGCGUAAAGGGCUCGUAGGCGGCCAACUAAGUCAGACGUGAAAUCCCUCGGCUUAACCGGGGAACUGCAUCUGAUACUGGAUGGCUUGAGUUCGGGAGAGGGAUGCGGAAUUCCAGGUGUAGCGGUGAAAUGCGUAGAUAUCUGGAGGAACACCGGUGGCGAAGGCGGUUCUCUGGGAAUGUCCUGACGCUGAGGAGCGAAAGUGUGGGGAGCGAACAGG
rnacentral:rRNA from 1 species